AGACGGAGGGUGCAAGCGUUAUUCGGAAUCACUGGGCGUAAAGGACGCGUAGGCGGGUUGGCAAGUCAGAUGUGAAAUCCUACAGCUUAACUGUAGAACUGCAUUUGAAACUGCUAACCUAGAGUAUGGGGUGGGAGAUGGAAUUAGUGGUGUAGGGGUAAAAUCCGUAGAUAUCACUAGGAAUACCGAAAGCGAAGGCGAUCUCCUGGAACAUAACUGACGCUAAGGCGUGAAAGCGUGGGGAGCAAACAGGAGUAGAAACCCUAGUAGUCC
rnacentral:rRNA from 1 species